rnacentral:rRNA from 1 species
CAUGCAAGUCGAACGAGAAUCUACUGAAAGAGUUUUCGGACAAUGGAUGUAGAGGAAAGUGGCGGACGGGUGAGUAACGCGUGAGGAACCUGCCUUGAAGAGGGGGACAACAGUUGGAAACGACUGCUAAUACCGCAUGACGCAUAGAGGUCGCAUGAUCUUUAUGCCAAAGAUUUAUCGCUUCAAGAUGGCCUCGCGUCUGAUUAGCUGGUUGGCGGGGUAACGGCCCACCAAGGCGACGAUCAGUAGCCGGACUGAGAGGUUGAACGGCCACAUUGGGACUGAGAUACGGCCCAGACUCCUACGGGAGGCAGCAGUGGGGAAUAUUGGGCAAUGGGCGCAAGCCUGACCCAGCAACGCCGCGUGAAGGAAGAAGGCUUUCGGGUUGUAAACUUCUUUUAAGAGGGAAGAGCAGAAGACGGUACCUCUAGAAUAAGCCACGGCUAACUACGUGCCAGCAGCCGCGGUAAUACGUAGGUGGCAAGCGUUGUCCGGAUUUACUGGGUGUAAAGGGCGUGCAGCCGGGUCUGCAAGUCAGAUGUGAAAUCCAUGGGCUCAACCCAUGAACUGCAUUUGAAACUGUAGAUCUUGAGUGUCGGAGGGGCAAUCGGAAUUCCUAGUGUAGCGGUGAAAUGCGUAGAUAUUAGGAGGAACACCAGUGGCGAAGGCGGAUUGCUGGACGAUAACUGACGGUGAGGCGCGAAAGUGUGGGGAGCAAACAGGAUUAGAUACCCUGGUAGUCCACACUGUAAACGAUGAAUACUAGGUGUGCGGGGACUGACCCCCUGCGUGCCGCA